rnacentral:lncRNA from 1 species
UCCGAUUAUCCAACCAUGAUUCCCAAUCCGAGCCACUGGCUGUCCCGGAAUAUAUAAUAUUUAUCGCAUCGGACAAAACACAUGCCUCUGGAUCGUCGUUUCCCCGCUGCGACGACUCCCCGACAUGGCCCCCACGCACAUUUGCAGUCCGCCACCCUCUCACCGGAGAAGAGGCGCUGCGGCCGCUUUCCCCUCUAGCUGACCUCGCCCCGCCGGGCCCCGCCG